rnacentral:snRNA from 1 species
AUACUCUGAUUCCUCUUCAGAUCGUAUAAAUCUUUCGCCUUUUACUAAAGAUUUCCGUGGAGAAAAUCCUGAGAGGGAGAGGAGAGAAGAAGGGAUUGUGUCAUGGCUAUCCCCUAGGGGAUAA